UACGGAGGGGGCUAGCGUUGUUCGGAAUUAUUGGGCGUAAAGGGCGCGUAGGCGGCCGGACAAGUCUGACGUGAAAUCCCUCGGCCCAACCGGGGAACUGCGUUUGAAACUGUUCGGCUCGAGUCCGGGAGAGGGUAGUGGAAUUCCCAGUGUAGCGGUGAAAUGCGUAGAUAUUGGGAGGAACACCGGUGGCGAAGGCGGGUUGCUGGGCCGACACUGACGCUGAAGUGCGAAAGCUAGGGGAGCGAACGGG
rnacentral:rRNA from 1 species